rnacentral:rRNA from 1 species
CGAGCCACGUAUGAAUAAUACGUGGCAUACGGCUCAGUAACACGUAGUCAACAUGCCCAGAGGACGUGGAUAACCUCGGGAAACUGAGGAUAAACCGCGAUAGGUCAUAUUUACUGGAAUGGUUUAUGGCUCAAAUCUACAUGGCCUCUGGAUUGGACUGCGGCCGAUCAGGCUGUUGGUGAGGUAAUGGCCCACCAAACCUGUUACCGGUACGGGCUCUGAGAGGAGGAGCCCGGAGAUGGGCACUGAGACAAGGGCCCAGGUCCUAUGGGGCGCAGCAGGCGCGAAACCUCUGCAAUAGGCGAAAGCUUGACAGGGUUACUCUGAGUGAUUCCCGCUAAGGGAAUCUUUUGGCAUCUCUAAAAACGAUGCAGAAUAAGGGGUGGGCAAGUCUGGUGUCAGCCGCCGCGGUAAUACCAGCACCCCGAGUGGUCGGGACGAUUAUUGGGCCUAAAGCAUCCGUAGCCGGUCUUGCAAGUCUUCCGUUAAAUCCAGCUGCUUAACGGAUGGGCUGCGGAAGAUACUACAAGACUAGGAGGCGGGAGAGGCAAGCGGUACUCAGUGGGUAGGGGUAAAAUCCUCUGAUCCAUUGAAGACCACCAGUGGCGAAGGCGGCUUGCCAGAACGCGCUCGACGGUGAGGGAUGAAAGCUGGGGGAGCAAACCGGAUUAGAUACCCGGGUAGUCCCAGCUGUAAACGAUGCAGACUCGGUGAUGGGCCGGCUUCAUGCCGGCUCAGUGCCGCA